rnacentral:rRNA from 1 species
UACGAAGGGGGCUAGCGUUGUUCGGAAUUACUGGGCGUAAAGCGCGCGCAGGCGGUUUCUCAAGUCAGUGGUGAAAGCCCGGAGCUCAACUCCGGAACUGCCAUUGAAACUGUGAAACUUGAGGACGAGAGAGGUGAGUGGAAUUCCCAGUGUAGAGGUGAAAUUCGUAGAUAUUCGGAAGAACACCAGUGGCGAAGGCGGCUCACUGGCCCGUUACCGACGCUCAGGCGCGACAGCGUGGGGAGCAAACAGG